GAUGAAGAACGCAGCGAAAUGCGAUACUUGGUGUGAAUUGCAGAAUCCCGUGAACCAUCGAGUCUUUGAACGCAAGUUGCGCCCGAAGCCAUUAGGCCGAGGGCACGCCUGCCUGGGUGUCACACGUCGUUGCCCCCCCAUCUACUCCUUCGGGAUUGCGGGGGGCGGAUGAUGGCCUCCCGUGCGCCUCGUCGCGCGGUUGGCAUAAAUGCCAAGUCCUCGGCGACGCACGCCACGACAAUCGGUGGUUGCGAAACCUCGGUUGCCCGUCGUGUGCGGUCGUCGCGCAUCGAGGGCUCGAAAAAAUUGCCGGGCUCCGGCUCGGCUUUCAACGCGACCCCAGGUCAGGCGGGGUUACCCGCUGAGUUUAAGCAUAUCAAAAGCGGAGGA
rnacentral:misc_RNA from 1 species